rnacentral:rRNA from 1 species
UGCCCGAGUAGCACGGGGCCCGAGGAAUCCCGUGUGAAUCUGCCAGGACCACCUGGUAAGCCUGAAUACUACCUGUUGACCGAUAGCGGAUCAGUACCGUGAGGGAAUGGUGAAAAGUACCCCGGGAGGGGAGUGAAAGAGUUCCUGAAACCAUGCGCUUACAAUCCGUCAGAGCAUGUUUUUGUGUGUGAUGGCGUGCCUUUUGAAGAAUGAGCCUGCGAGUCAGCGGCAUGUCGCGAGGUUAACCCGUUUGUGUGGGGUAGUCGUAGCGAAAGCGAAUCCGAAUAGGGUGGCAAGUGGCAUGUCCUGGACCCGAAGCGGGGUGAUCUACCCAUGGCCAGUGUGAAGCAGCUGUAAGAGGUUGUGGAGGCGCGAACCCACGUAGGUUAAAAACUGCGGGGAUGAGCUGUGGGUAGGGGUGAAAGGCCAA